rnacentral:rRNA from 2 species
UGAGGAAUAUUGGACAAUGGGCGAAGGCCUGAUCCAGCCAUGUCGCGUGCAGGAAGAAUGUCCUAUGGACUGUAAACUGCUUUUGUACGGGAAGAACCGGGGGCACGCGUGCCCCCCUGACGGUACCGUAAGAAUAAGGAUCGGCUAACUCCGUGCCAGCAGCCGCGGUAAUACGGAGGAUCCGAGCGUUAUCCGGAAUCAUUGGGUUUAAAGGGUCCGUAGGCGGGCCGUUAAGUCAGGGGUGAAAUUCUACGGCUCAACCGUAGGACUGCCGUUGAUACUGGCGGUCUUGAGUUAUGGUGAAGCGGCCGGAAUAUGUGGUGUAGCGGUGAAAUGCAUAGAUAUCACAUGGAAUACCGAUUGCGAAGGCAGGCCGCUAACCACAUACUGACGCUGAUGGACGAAAGCGUGGGUAGCGAACAGG